rnacentral:pre_miRNA from 1 species
UGUGGUGGAUUCGUAUUCCAUCUUCGUGAUCAAUUGGAGAAUCACGAAGAUGGAAUACGCCAUGCACCCAC